rnacentral:misc_RNA from 1 species
ACUUUGAUUCUGAUGGCUACUUUACGUUCAUUUCUUUUUUCAAAUGCUUUUAAGGCCUCUAAUUGGUCUUAUUUAGUUUGUAGAGGCUUCCGAAACAGAUGCUUUGUAAAUUCUCCAAUCCCAUCUGCCAGUGAAUUUUAGUACAAGUAGGUCUCUACUGUCUGAUGAGGUAGAAAAGGCCAAAGGAGCAAAAAAGACAGCAGAGCCAACCAUAUUUUCAAAGAUAGUUGAUAAAUCGAUUCCAGCAGAUAUUAUCUAUGAGGAUGAACAGUGCCUGGCUUUCCGUGACGUUUCCCCGCAGGCUCCUGUACAUUUCCUGGUGAUUCCCAAAUCCCCCAUACCGGGCCUCAGUGAUGCCCAGGACACAGAUCUACAGCUAUUGGGACACCUUCUACUGACAGCAAAACGAGUAGCAGAGAGAGAGGACCUCUCCAACGGAUACAGACUUGUGAUAAACAAUGGACCUGACGGUGCCCAGUCUGUGUACCACCUCCAUAUACACAUCCUGGGAGGGAGACAGAUGAGCUGGCCCCCGGGCUGAUGCCAGUAACAGGGGUCAAUAAACGCAAUUGUUUAUUUAUUAUGUAGUUUUCUUGUUAUUACACUGACUGUAGCAAUGAGUAUUACACCCUUUUACUUUUUUUAACUGUGUCCAAAAAAUCUCUCUGAAUGCGUGUGCAUUAUUAAGGCUAUUCAGAAUGAAUUUUUCUAGAAAUAAAUUCUGUUCAGGAACAAAUGCUAAACCUCACAGCCAAUGUUUAACUAUUAGAUUUUAAUUUGUUUUGCAUUUGACAGCACCAGUUUCACGAUAAACAAAAUAAAAUGUUGCAAUGAU